GGUUAAUAAAUAAGUUGAUGAGGAACUCCAUCUCACGGUAUGUAACAGUAAAACAUAUAUUUUUGGUUGAUUGCCACAAGAUUUUUUUACCGUUAAAUGACAGAACAAUAGCGUGCUGUGUGUAACGUUUUUGACAUGCCUGAGUUAUUACGGAUGUUUUAGAAUAUACACGUGUAAGUAUAUUGUUGACAAUUCUACAGGUAGAUAUAGAUGUUUGACGCAAUUCAGGUAUGUUUAGAUUUCAGUUUAACUUUAACAUUUUUAACAUGUUUAAGAUACAUAUAUUUUGAUUAUUUGUAACAGGGUUAAAAAUUUCUAACGAACACAAAAAUAUAUAGUAACAUUACUGUUCUACAUCUGUAAUUGUACUUAAGUACUAAAAUAUGUAUGCUAUUUCAAGAAAAAAGGGUGUUCCCGUCAAGGUUUAGUUUUAAUAUGUCCUAAAAUAUAUUAUACCAUAAAAUUUGUAAUAUAUUAUCUUACUUUUAACCGGUUGUAGGCCGUGAGUUAUAAUUUGUUUGGUUAAAAAGGUCCCAAAAAUUAUGUCAUCUUUAUGAAUUACGUUUUACAUGUAUCAUAUGGUAUGAUUUAUUGCUCAAACUAUAUAUUAGCUGUUCAGUGUUCUCAUUUACAUUUCAAACUGUUAAAAUAAAUUGGCGUACAGAUUGGACUUGGGAUACAUCUUAACAUUCGAUUAUAACCCCUUUACUGUCAUAAUGAAAUCCUCUCACAGACAUAUUAAUGUCCGAACGAUUAAAAUUCUUAGGGAGAAUUACAACAUUUAAUGCGUUUUCUUUAUUACACUCUUACGAUGAAAUAUAAAUUACAUAUAACAUUUGUUCGAAAUACAAUUGAUUUUUUUUUUUAUUUAAUUACAUUGUAUUAUUAUAAAUUGCUUAAUAUCGCGUAACUUCUAUAUCGUAUCGAAAAGCCUAUACAAUAUCUUAUAAAAGAAGUUUUGUUUGAAGUCGUGCUACAGAAAGUUCCUAAACUCAAAACUCAAGACAAUAAUUUAUAUAUGCAUACAGAUAAAACACAGCGAUAAAGCUUUUAGAAUACGCAAUACCUAGUCAUGAUAAUUAUAAUCAUAUAAAUUUAAAUAAUUCGGGUUGGAUGCGUUGUCACGGAGAAAACAAACUCGCAACUUUUAACUGGAAGAUUACUAUCAAAAGAUCGGUUGUACUUAAGGCUUAAAGUUUGAUUACACUGAAACGGACUUAAAAUUUUGCAGAUAAAAGUAUAAAAUUCAUUUUGGACCACGUCAACAACAAGAUAAAACUAGACGACGCACCUGUUGUUUGUUGAUAGCUGAUUCCUGUUAGUAAAUAUUUAAUGGAAUAAAGGCAUUUUAUCAUUGAAUCAAUCGUGAGUAAACAUUUUUAUUCAAUUUUCCAUCUAAUCGUUCUUAUAUAUAAUACAUGUAUAUUAUGUCAUUAUCAAAUAUCUUAUUUUGCUUAUGUUUCCACCAGGUAUGUUCGAUCUCUUUAUGGGAUGCACUUUUAAACCUGUCUAGGUUCAUAUUAUAAAGAAUGGAUUUAAAAUUGUUCAUGUGUGAAUAUUUUAUACAUCAUUUAAGCAAGAAUAAUAAUUGAAAUAUAUUAUUACGCUAGCGCAUCAAAUAUCCUGACUUGAUCAAUAAGUGUUAUUUUAUAUUUUACAUAGGUUGCAUAUGGAGAAGAUAGAUUCUGGAUUAGAAUUUGACAUGCUUAUUACGUGAGUAAAUUUACAAAGACAAAUUCUCAUUGUAUAAUUUAUCAUUAGAUGUUGACGUUUACUACAUGUAUAUAAAUACAGGUAGAGUUUUUGUUACAUUUUUUUACAACACACUAUUUGUAUAUAGAGUGCUUGCUACAUAUGCAUUAAAUGUAAACUUAUCAGAGUUUAAAAAGUUUUUCUAUACACUUGACUAGACAUUUCACUAUAAAGAGCAACAAUUAAUGCAUAACUUUUCGAUGUAUAUGCAUCCCCUAUUUCAUUACUUUUGGCAUUUCGUUUUUCUCUUACAUUUAUUCAUUCGUAUUACAACGAGUUAACUGCAGCUGCUCAAAUAUUUAUUUCAACGCGGAAAAGGUAAUUAAAUUUUAUACCAAUUAUCAAAAAUAGGAUAUUAUAAUAUUCCUGUACCUAAAUAGGUUGUUGAUUUAGUAUGUCUUGACAUUGGACAUGUAACCUGUGACAAAUAGAUGUAAUAGUCCCAUGUGCUACUUUAUAAAUUAAUACAUUGGCAUUUUGUUAUCUAUUUAUAUCUUUACUGAUUAUAUGUACAGAUCUAAGAGACAAGAGCAAGGAAACACUUAUAUGAUUAAUAGAAAGGAAGGAAAACAAUAGAGAUAAUGACAAAAAUGUCAAUGAAGCGACAAACAAAGCGACAAAAUAAAUGUGAAAAACGAGUCGAAACCGAAAAUAAUUAAAUAAAUGAAAUCGAAUUUAUUAUAACGGGUUGACUGCUGCACAAAAUGUAAUUUCUAUCGGGAAAUAUUUAUACACUGACAACAUCAAGAACUUCUCUGAGAUUAAGCUUCAGAACCCCUAUCGCAGCAAUGCGUUUUGUUAGCAUUAAUCGGUUAACUUUUCGGAGUUUGAACAAGCAUAUCAAAGUGAGGAAAAAAAAAACCCGAGGGAAUUCAAAUGGAGCGAGACUGGGUGCAUCGACAGAAUAAACCGCAUAGGAAGGGCGACAACCGUGUUUUCAUAUUCAUUCAGAAGAAAAAGACUGUUUAAUAAAAUUUCUAACCGUUUUCCCUUUUAGUAUUUUUAGGAAAUAAGAUAGGUUUAAACUAAGCAAUGAACAAAAUAAGACACUUUAAUUCAAUACUACAUGUAUGCUACAUUUUUAUUCAUUCUCUUUUUAGGUAAAAUGGAUUAUGUUAAAUCAGCACUACAGAUAAUUCUGCUUGGUUUUUUCUUCUUUGUCUUAGCGUGGAUUUGUGUAUACGCAGACAAGUUGUUACUGGUAUUUCAGAGUUUUUAGUAUAGCUAUUUUGGUGGACCAAGAUUGUUCUAAAACAAGUUUUUUAGCAAUGUAAACAUUACAAUACACACAUCAAUAUGCAUAUGGAUAUCUCACUGAAUUGAUGCAGUCCACCAUUUUAGAAUCUUUCUAGCUUUUGGAUACGUGUGCAUGGACAGAUUGAAGUUUAACAUUCAAUUUGACUUAUUUUAUCUAAACUAAUAUCAUAUUUUUAAUUUAAUAUGUAUGAAAUGAAUGAAAACAUAGUUUAUUAAAU
rnacentral:lncRNA from 1 species